GGGUUGUGAGGUUAAGCGACUAAGCGUACACGGUGGAUGCCCUGGCAGUCAGAGGCGAUGAAGGGCGUGCUAAUCUGCGAUAAGCGCCGGUAAGGUGAUAUGAACCGUUAUAACCGGCGAUACCCGAAUGGGGAAACCCAGUGUGAUUCGUCACACUAUCAUUAACUGAAUCCAUAGGUUAAUGAGGCGAACCGGGGGAACUGAAACAUCUAAGUACCCCGAGGAAAAGAAAUCAACCGAGAUUCCCCCAGUAGCGGCGAGCGAACGGGGAGGAGCCCAGAGCCUGAAUCAGCAUGUGUGUUAGUGGAAGCGUCUGGAAAGGCGCGCGAUACAGGGUGACAGCCCCGUACACAAAAGCGCAUGUGCUGUGAGCUCGAUGAGUAGGGCGGGACACGUGGUAUCCUGUCUGAAUAUGGGGGGACCAUCCUCCAAGGCUAAAUACUCCUGACUGACCGAUAGUGAACCAGUACCGUGAGGGAAAGGCGAAAAGAACCCCGGCGAGGGGAGUGAAAAAGAACCUGAAACCGUGUACGUACAAGCAGUGGGAGCACAGGUUUACCUGUGUGACUGCGUACCUUUUGUAUAAUGGGUCAGCGACUUAUAUUCUGUAGCAAGGUUAACCGAAUAGGGGAGCCGGAGGGAAACCGAGUCUUAAUUGGGCGUUAAGUUGCAGGGUAUAGACCCGAAACCCGGUGAUCUAGCCAUGGGCAGGUUGAAGGUUGGGUAACACUAACUGGAGGACCGAACCGACUAAUGUUGAAAAAUUAGCGGAUGACCUGUGGCUGGGGGUGAAAGGCCAAUCAAACCGGGAGAUAGCUGGUUCUCCCCGAAAGCUAUUUAGGUAGCGCCUCGUGAAUUCAUCUCCGGGGUAGAGCACUGUUUCGGCUAGGGGGCCAUCCCGGCUUACCAACCCGAUGCAAACUGCGAAUACCGGAGAAUGUUAUCACGGGAGACACACGGCGGGUGCUAACGUCCGUCGUGAAGAGGGAAACAACCCAGACCGCCAGCUAAGGUCCCAAAGUCAUGGUUAAGUGGGAAACGAUGUGGGAAGGCCCAGACAGCCAGGAUGUUGGCUUAGAAGCAGCCAUCAUUUAAAGAAAGCGUAAUAGCUCACUGGUCGAGUCGGCCUGCGCGGAAGAUGUAACGGGGCUAAACCAUGCACCGAAGCUGCGGCAGCGAACGUAUCACUUAAAGCGAUUCAGCGGGUUACGAUUGACGGAGCGAAGCGACGUCAAAGCGUAUACAAAGUCGAGUCGGUUUAAGGAUACGUUCGUUGGGUAGGGGAGCGUUCUGUAAGCCUGCGAAGGUGGCCUGUGAGGGUUGCUGGAGGUAUCAGAAGUGCGAAUGCUGACAUAAGUAACGAUAAAGCGGGUGAAAAGCCCGCUCGCCGGAAGACCAAGGGUUCCUGUCCAACGUUAAUCGGGCAGGGUGAGUCGACCCCUAAGGCGAGGCCGAAAGGCGUAGUCGAUGGGAAACGGGUUAAUAUUCCCGUACUUGGUGUUACUGCGAAGGGGGACGGAGAAGGCUAUGUUGGCCGGGCGACGGUUGUCCCGGUUUAAGCGUGUAGGUGUGUGUUCCAGGUAAAUCCGGUUCACUUUAACACUGAGGCGUGAUGACGAGGCACUACGGUGCUGAAGCAACAAAUGCCCUGCUUCCAGGAAAAGCCUCUAAGCAUCAGGUAACAUCAAAUCGUACCCCAAACCGACACAGGUGGUCAGGUAGAGAAUACCAAGGCGCUUGAGAGAACUCGGGUGAAGGAACUAGGCAAAAUGGUGCCGUAACUUCGGGAGAAGGCACGCUGACACGUAGGUGAAGUGAUUUACUCACGGAGCUGAAGUCAGUCGAAGAUACCAGCUGGCUGCAACUGUUUAUUAAAAACACAGCACUGUGCAAACACGAAAGUGGACGUAUACGGUGUGACGCCUGCCCGGUGCCGGAAGGUUAAUUGAUGGGGUCAGCGCAAGCGAAGCUCCUGAUCGAAGCCCGGUAAACGGCGGCCGUAACUAUAACGGUCCUAAGGUAGCGAAAUUCCUUGUCGGGUAAGUUCCGACCUGCACGAAUGGCGUAAUGAUGGCCAGGCUGUCUCCACCCGAGACUCAGUGAAAUUGAACUCGCUGUGAAGAUGCAGUGUACCCGCGGCAAGACGGAAAGACCCCGUGAACCUUUACUAUAGCUUGACACUGAACAUUGAGCCUUGAUGUGUAGGAUAGGUGGGAGGCUUUGAAGCGUGGACGCCAGUCUGCGUGGAGCCGACCUUGAAAUACCACCCUUUAAUGUUUGAUGUUCUAACGUGGACCCGUAAUCCGGGUUGCGGACAGUGUCUGGUGGGUAGUUUGACUGGGGCGGUCUCCUCCUAAAGAGUAACGGAGGAGCACGAAGGUUGGCUAAUCCUGGUCGGACAUCAGGAGGUUAGUGCAAUGGCAUAAGCCAGCUUGACUGCGAGCGUGACGGCGCGAGCAGGUGCGAAAGCAGGUCAUAGUGAUCCGGUGGUUCUGAAUGGAAGGGCCAUCGCUCAACGGAUAAAAGGUACUCCGGGGAUAACAGGCUGAUACCGCCCAAGAGUUCAUAUCGACGGCGGUGUUUGGCACCUCGAUGUCGGCUCAUCACAUCCUGGGGCUGAAGUAGGUCCCAAGGGUAUGGCUGUUCGCCAUUUAAAGUGGUACGCGAGCUGGGUUUAGAACGUCGUGAGACAGUUCGGUCCCUAUCUGCCGUGGGCGCUGGAGAACUGAGGGGGGCUGCUCCUAGUACGAGAGGACCGGAGUGGACGCAUCACUGGUGUUCGGGUUGUCAUGCCAAUGGCACUGCCCGGUAGCUAAAUGCGGAAGAGAUAAGUGCUGAAAGCAUCUAAGCACGAAACUUGCCCCGAGAUGAGUUCUCCCUGAGACUUUAGGUCUCCUGAAGGAACGUUGAAGACGACGACGUUGAUAGGCCGGGUGUGUAAGCGCAGCGAUGCGUUGAGCUAACCGGUACUAAUGAACCGUGAGGCUUAACCUUACAACGCCGAAG
rnacentral:rRNA from 1 species